AGCCCAGCACCGAAGCCUGCGGCAGUUUUGCUGUUAGGCAAUGUGGUGUUCGGGUCGGCUAGCAGGACCGUAACUCCACUCGAAGUCCAGCAUUGAGUAUGGUUAUAAUUGGAUUUGGCCCAUAGAGGGUGAGAGGCCCGUACGAGUGGAGGUACAGACAUGUGAUACGGUUCACCAGGUCGGCCUUAGAGUCGGGUUGUUUGAGAUUGCAGCCCAAAGUGGGUGGUAAACUCCAUCCAAGGCUAAAUACAGGCACGAGUCCGAUAGCGAACAAGUACCGUGAGGGAAAGUUGAAAAGUACUCUGAAGAGAGAGUAAACAGUACGUGAAACCGCAUGCAGGUAAACGGGUGGCGUCAAACUGCGAGCCCGGAGGAUUCAGCUGGUUGGGUUGUUAUUCGGCCAGAAUAAGAUUUAGUGGUCUACUCUUUCUUUGUGAGAGUGGAGCAAGGUGUGAGGUGUGUGUAUGUGUGUGCAUAUGGCAAGAUGUUACGCACUUGUGGUGUAGCUUUUUUGUUAUUUGCGUUCUUCUGCACUUGCCUCUUCCGAGCUAUACGUGCCGGGUGUGUGCCGGAGUAUGCCACUAGUCUGUAGAGCCGCCUAAUCAGUGCAAUUUCUUCGUGGUGAACAUCACGACCGAUGGAAUUGUCAGUCCAUCGUAGUCAAAUCGUGCUUAUGUGACUAUUGAACGGUACAUAGUACUUUUCAAUGUGGUUAUGUGAGCGUGAUCGCAGGUGGAGUGAGUAAACGGCGUAGUGUUGUUUCGGCAUUGCUACGUGCUAUCGUGUACUUACCACCAACGAAUUGUUGUGUAGUGGUGUGCUUUGACUGCGCAGCGAUUUGGCGGACUACGUUGGUAAAAAUGACUGUGCAAGGCAUCGGCUUUAUCCACCUCACGCAUACGUACAUAUUUGCAUUUGUAUGUAUGUAUGUAUGUAUGUGUAUGUAUCCGGCAGGCUUUCACACAAGCUUUUGUAGAGACUCAUUGCCGUGUAUAUGCAUUAUGUGUGAUUGUCGUUUUGCCUACAAAAAAGUAGGUGCGGCAGUGGCAUAGUGUAGAUUAAAUUGCACGGUUUAAAAUAUGAUGUCUCUAGUGCAUGUGAUACAGUGGGUGUAAUAGUCAGUGAUGCUGUGGUAGACGAGCUACCCGACCCGUCUCGAAACACGGACCAAGGAGUUUAACAUGUGUGCAAGUCAAAGGGCUAUACGAAACCCCAAGGCGUAGUGAAAGUAAAAAUUGUACUUAUGUACAAUGAGGUGAGAUCUCACUGUUUGUUGUUAUUAUAUAAUAUACAUAGCAGUGAGCGCAUCACCGGCCCGUCCCAUGAUGUGGUCAUUAGCAUUGGCAUUGGCAUAAGCAUUUACGUGUUUAUACUAGUGUCAGCUAAUGCAUCAUCGGGGCGGAGCAUGAGCACACACGUUGAGACCCGAAAGAUGGUGAACUAUGCUUGCGUAGGUUGAAGCCAGAGGAAACUCUGGUGGAGGACCGUAGCGAUUCUGACGUGCAAAUCGAUCGUCAAACGUGAGUAUA
rnacentral:rRNA from 1 species